rnacentral:tRNA from 2 species
UCGCGGGAUGGAGCAGUUCGGUAGCUCGUCGGGCUCAUAACCCGAAGGUCGUAGGUUCAAAUCCUGCUCCCGCAAU